GGGUCCAUAGCUCAGCCUGGUCGGAGCACUUGGCUCUUAACCAAGGGGUCGGGGGUUCAAAUCCCUCUGGAUCCG
rnacentral:tRNA from 1 species